rnacentral:rRNA from 1 species
AAGGGGGGCGGAGCAUGUGGCUUAAUUUGACUCAACGCGGGAAAUCUUACCGGGUCCGGACACACUGAGGAUUGACAGGCAAUAUAUUAGCAUAAAGAUUCGUCUUUAGCGCUAAUUGUUAAAUAUGCUAGUCCUUUCAUGAUUAUGUGAUAGGUGGUGCAUGGCCGUUCUUAGUUCGUGGAGUGAUCUGUCUGCUUAAUUGCGUUUCACUAAGGGCCCAUAAAUUCAAGGUAUGUUAGCAAAUGCUGCUCUAUUGACCCCUAAUAGGCUUAACUGUCUUUAGCGCGUGUCUCUACGAGUUCUUUAAAGCACUGCGCAUGCUGUUGGGUCCUGAAAGCAACGAACGUGACCGCAACGUCUUGUUGCCUCUCUAUAAUACCUUCUUAUUUUUAAUAAGAGUAUUUACCUGAGGCUAUUUUAAAACUAGGACGGACCGCUGUUUCUUCUAAACCAGAGGAAGGUGCGG